rnacentral:lncRNA from 12 species
CAAAAGUGCAAUUGGGAACAGAGGUGUUGAGAGGAGAUGAUAAACAAUCAACUCUUCAAAGCCAGUGAGAGUCCCUGGCUUCUGAUGGGCCUCUGACAUUUGUUCUGACAUCUGGUUACAGAAGGAAGAGCCUAAAGGAAAAUGUAGGUCAAGUGCUUUUAUCCCUUGCAACUUUCAGAAGAACAAUCACAAAAUUACA